AGGGUGUUGACUUGGACAAGUGGUCUUCACAAGGUGGCGGACACCGGACUCUGCUGUACGGACACGCUAUUCUCCUCCGGCAUUCCCACAGCGGCAUGUACCUGAGCUGCCUAACCACCUCCCGUUCCUUGACCGAUAAACUUGCCUUUGACGUGGGUCUCCAGGAAGAUGCAACAGGAGAAGCCUGCUGGUGGACCAUCCACCCCGCCUCCAAGCAGCGCUCGGAAGGGGAGAAGGUGCGCGUCGGUGACGACCUCAUUCUCGUCAGCGUCUCUUCUGAGCGG